rnacentral:rRNA from 1 species
UACGGAGGGUGCAAGCGUUAUCCGGAUUUACUGGGUUUAAAGGGUGUGUAGGCGGACUUUUAAGUCAGCGGUGAAAUCUCCGGGCUCAACCCGGAAACUGCCAUUGAUACUAUUGGUCUUGAAUGUUGUUGAGGUGGGCGGAACGGGUCAGUGUAGCGGUGAAAUGCAUAGAUAUGACCCGGAACACCGAUUGCGAAGGCAGCCCACUAAGCAACGAUUGACGCUGAGGCACGAAAGCGUGGGGAUCAAACAGG